ensembl:lncRNA
UCCUGUUGGCCUGAGCUGAAAUGUCCACAGGAUCUGAUGUCUAGACAAUGAAUGAGCACAAAACCCAGUUUUUAAAGCAUUUAGCCCCAAUCACUGCCCACCAUCUACAUUAGCGGCUGGGAAAAACUCAAUAUUUAGCCCACAGAAUCAUUCAGUCCCCUGGCUUCCAUGUAUAUGGAAGAGCAGGUUCAUCAACUACAUCAGAAUCCAGUUCUGUUUAUUUAACGAAAAUGGAGAUACUAUUAUGAAUAAUAUUGUGGUCAAUGAUAAAAUUGAGUGUCCACAAUAAAGAAAAGGAAAACUUUAAAACAAAUAAACAAAAGAUAAAACUGAAAUGUUCUUAGAAAUGUACUCUUCAAGUUGGUUACAUUUGAUUUGAAAUGCUUUUAUACCAUUUCAGAAAUUUAAAACAUGCUCUUCAUAGAAGUGUAUUUAAUUAUGAUCUGCAUUUUGCUUUUAAAAGCAAAGAGAACAAUUAUAUCAAAGCUAGUCAGGCACAUGCAGAUCAAAUGAGUAAAUUUUAUGAAGUUUGUCAGGUCAUGAGAGAAAUUGCUUUAGAAGUUUGCCCUUAAUUGGGGCAUCUAUUGAUAGCACGUCAACUGGGUGUAUUUUUUUUUUUUUUUUUUUACUUCUUUCUUCCAGGUCAAUGCUUUCUACUGAACAUUGAUCACAGAUAACCAGAUAACCUCCCACAGACUCAUUUUUAUGGCUUAUGGAGUUUAACGUUUUCAUCAAAUAUGUGGCAAUCCCUCACACAAGCAUGAGAUUGUUUGCUGUUUAGUUGUGUAAUGGAAAUGCAUUAUUUCCUGAUAAUAUCACCAUUCCACAUUAUCGACCGCUCCUCCCUCCACUGUUUGAGACUGAAGUGAUGAGUCACUGAUGACUAGUUUUAAUUAGGCUGCUUGUGUGGCUAAUAAGUGUGGCAAAAGUUCAACACAAUGAAAGAUGGCCCUCUAUGAUGUUACAUCUGUGGACUUUCUCAUGCAAAAACAUCCCAGCUACAAAUCAUCAUCUCUGUUGUGCCUUUGGUGUAUAUUUUUCUAAAUCACCAUGCAAAUUACUUUUACUGCCAUGUGUUCUUAUACAGACUUGAAGCUUAAUAGUGAUCUAAGUGUAUAUCAACAAUAAAAUGCAUUGUAAAUCAAUAUUUUCUAAAUGA